UACGUAGGGGGCAAGCGUUGUCCGGAAUCAUUGGGCGUAAAGCGCGUGUAGGCGGCCAGAAAAGUCCGCUGUGAAAACUCGAGGCUCAACUUCGAGCUGUCGGUGGAAACUUUCUGGCUAGAGUCCGGAAGAGGAGAAUGGAAUUCCUGGUGUAGCGGUGAAAUGCGCAGAUAUCAGGAAGAACACCCGUGGCGAAGGCGGAUCUCUGGGCCUUACCUGACGCUCAGGCGCGAAAGCUAGGGGAGCGAACUGG
rnacentral:rRNA from 1 species